rnacentral:rRNA from 1 species
CCCCCGUAGACGAAACGAUGCGCACUCCAGAGAAGUAUCCCAAGUAGCACGGGGCCCGAGAAAUCCCGUGUGAAUCUGGCGGGACCACCCGCUAAGCCUAAAUAUUCCCUGGUGACCGAUAGCGGACAAGUACCGUGAGGGAAAGGUGAAAAGUACCCCGGGAGGGGAGUGAAAUAGAUCCUGAAACCGUGUGCCUACAAUCCGUCGGAGCCUCCUUGUGGGGUGACGGCGUGCCUUUUGAAGAAUGAGCCUGCGAGUUAGUGCUCAGUGGCGAGGUUAACCCGUGUGGGGAAGCCGUAGCGAAAGCGAGUCCGAAUAGGGCGUUUUAGUCGCUGGGUCUAGACCCGAAGCGGAGUGAUCUACCCAUGGCCAGGUUGAAGCGACGGUAAGACGUCGUGGAGGACCGAACCCACUUAGGUUGAAAACUGAGGGGAUGAGCUGUGGGUAGGGGUGAAAGGCCAAUCAAACUCCGUGAUAGCUGGUUCUCCCCGAAAUGCAUUUAGGUGCAGCGUCACGUGUUUCUUACCGGAGGUAGAGCUACUGGAUAGCUGAUGGGCCUCACCAGGUUACUGACGUUAGCCAAACUCCGAAUGCCGGUAAGUGAGAGCGUGGCAGUGAGACUGCGGGGGAUAAGCUCCGUAGUCGAGAGGGAAACAGCCCAGACCACCAUCUAAGGUCCCUAAGCGUGUGCUAAGUGGGAAAGGAUGUGGAGUUGCAUUGACAACCAGGAGGUUGGCUUAGAAGCAGCCACCCUUUAAAGAGUGCGUAAUAGCUCACUGGUCAAGUGAUUCCGCGCCGACAAUGUAGCGGGGCUCAAGCACACCACCGAAGCUGUGGCAUUGACACACUGCUCGGCCAGUUUUCCUGCGGGGU